rnacentral:lncRNA from 1 species
GUGGUCUCCACCCUGAUCUUCUCGCUUUUCCCUUUUAUUUGGUGAGGACAGCCUGCCAGAGGCUUCACUCUAUUUAUCUAGGUGAGGGGAAAUAACUUGUUUGAGGCCAUACUGGAGGGAUCUGUUGGAUGUACCUGGUGAGACUGCAGGUUUCAAACUGGAGUUUUUAAAAUGGAGUUGCUUAGGCUCAGGCCUAAGGCCAUUCUCACAGUGUGCCAGUUAAAAACAAAAAGAGGUAUAUUGAAAGCAAAAGCACAUUCAAAGAAGAAUGUGAGCUGUCUCAAGGGUGAGAAACUUUGGGAGUAAGGCAAGUGUAGAUAUUCUGACUGUGGAAAUAGAGAAGUGUUCCCCCUGUGAGCAAACUCCCGGGGGGGGGGGGUAACUGGCACCCCUGAUUCCCACCAUUGGAAUGCCUAGCAGUUUCCCCCUGAGGCUCUUAAGAUAACUACGUAGGGUGUACUACCUGGUUUCCAUAGUAACAUCCUUGGGUGUAAGAGGGUCUGUGUUUGUAUUAACCUGGACCUUAUCUCAGUUAGCUAGCACGCAGGGUUAAAGGAACUGAUUAGAGUGUAGUCAGGUGUGAUGGGUAAUAUGUAACUUUUUUUGAGUUAAUAAACUUGGCAGGAGGGAGGGGCAGACACUUCACUUCUAUCCUUCUUCAUGACUUCACUCCACCUCUGUCUGCCCACUUAUCCUGUGUAUCUGUGUCGUUCUUUUGUGCACCUCUUCAAAGGUAGUCUUCCAUAGGUAGUUCCUUUACAGGCAAGGAAAACAGAAACAGGAACCCCUGGUGUGAGAAUUAAUGUUUAUAAAGGGUCAGAAUAUAUUAAUUGGGUUAUCUUCAUGUUAAUAGAUAUUCUUUCUGCAGCAGCAGACUGUAAUCAGUUUCUGUAUUUGUGAAAACCACAAUUGAGAUUUUAUUGUUGCUGAGGAGAACUUCUGUUCUUCAAAAGCACAACUCCUCUAUUAGGUUACCUUGUUGAUGUGCAGAGAUAGCCUACCAAUUGUGUUCAUUUAGAUUAGCAGUUAGCACAAUUAUGAAUGCAUUAUUUGGAGUUACUUUUGGUAGUUGCCUCAAAUGUUAGAAAAUUUAGGAAAAAAUUGCUAUGGACACAUGAAACUUAUAGGAUUGGGACUGUUUUAUUUUCUUAUGUAUAUAUAGAAUUUAUUGAUUUAUUUACAACUCUAAGCUUAGGCAAGUUUUAACAGUCUGUAUAAUCAAUCCUCUUCACAGGUGCUUAUUUGACAG